rnacentral:rRNA from 1 species
UAACACAUGCAAGUCGAACGGUGAAGCUCAAGCUUGCUUGGGUGGAUCAGUGGCGAACGGGUGAGUAACACGUGAGCAACCUGCCCCGGACUCUGGAAUAAGCGCUGGAAACGGCGUCUAAUACUGGAUAUGACACCAAUCCGCAUGGGUAUGGUGUGGAAAGUUUUUCGGUCUGGGAUGGGCUCGCGGCCUAUCAGCUUGUUGGUGAGGUAAUGGCUCACCAAGGCGACGACGGGUAGCCGGCCUGAGAGGGCGACCGGCCACACUGGGACUGAGACACGGCCCAGACUCCUACGGGAGGCAGCAGUGGGGAAUAUUGCACAAUGGGCGAAAGCCUGAUGCAGCGACGCCGCGUGAGGGAUGACGGCCUUCGGGUUGUAAACCUCUUUCAGCAGGGAAGAAGCGAAAGUGACGGUACCUGCAGAAGAAGCACCGGCUAACUACGUGCCAGCAGCCGCGGUAAUACGUAGGGUGCGAGCGUUGUCCGGAAUUAUUGGGCGUAAAGAGCUUGUAGGCGGUUUGUCGCGUCUGCUGUGAAAAUCCGGGGCUCAACCCCGGACUUGCAGUGGGUACGGGCAGACUAGAGUGUGGUAGGGGAGACUGGAAUUCCUGGUGUAGCGGUGAAAUGCGCAGAUAUCAGGAGGAACACCGAUGGCGAAGGCAGGUCUCUGGGCCACUACUGACGCUGAGAAGCGAAAGCAUGGGGAGCGAACAGGAUUAGAUACCCUGGUAGUCCAUGCCGUAAACGUUGGGCGCUAGGUGUGGGACUC